AUGCAAGUCGGACGGUAGCACAGAGGAAAGCUGUGCUCUCCGGGUGUACGAGUGGCAGACGGGUGAGUAAUGUCUGGGAAACUGCCCGGUGGAGGGGGAUAACUACUGGAAACGGUAGCUAAUACCGCAUAACGUCUUCGGACCAAGGUGGGGGAUCUUCGGACCUCACGCCUGCGGAUGUGCCCAGAUGGGAUUAGCUGGUAGGUGGGGUAACGGCUCACCUAUGCGACGAUCCCUAGCUGGUCUGAGAGGAUGACCAGNNACACUGGAACUGAGACACGGUCCACACUCCUACGGGAGGCAGCAGUGGGGAAUAUUGCACAAUGGGCGCNNGCCUGAUGCAUCCAUGCCGCGUGUAUGAAGAAUGCCUUCGGGUUGUAAAGUACUUUCAUCGGGGAGGAAGGCGGUGAGGUUAAUAACCUUGCCGAUUGACGUUANNCGCANNAUAAGCACCGGCUAACUCCGUGCCAGCAGCGGCGGUNNUAGGUAAUAA
rnacentral:rRNA from 1 species